CGGAGCUCAGAGGCAGUCUGGCUCCAGUGGCUGGGUUUUUAAUGUUGUUUGUAUUAUAUUGGCUGUUCCCUCAAUCCCACCUGCUACACCUUUAUAUCUUGACUCCAGGUAGUCAUGGGCGUCAACAAAUAUUUGCCAAGGACCAAAUGCAUACAUUGCAUGACCCCAGGCACCAGGGGUACCCGACUAGAAGAAAAAUAAGCCCUGCCAGCUCUUGGGGAACAUCAUGAAAAUACAACAGUCCAAGGGAGCUUCCGGUAAGAACCAGGUGCGCUAUUUGUUCUGUUGGCUCAGGAGCAACUUCCAAACUCAUUGCCGAAGUGUACUCGGAAUGAAGAAGACAAACCAGCCCAUCAACCGAACAAUAAUUUCCACUUACGGGGGAAAAUACGUCUUGCCAAUUCAGUUCACAUUUUCCCAAACACAUUUGUAAAACUCUUUGCCCUGGAUAAUCUGUGAUGCACAGAGUAUAAAAUAAAAGCCCCCACAUGAAGUGACAAACGAGGCAGAGGCAAAGCAGUUAACAGUAAGAGCAAACACAAAAAUAAAACAGCAUCCGUCAGGUGCCAUGUCAA